AUUGAACGCUGGCGGCAGGCCUAACACAUGCAAGUCGAGCGGAUGAAGGGAGCUUGCUCCUGGAUUCAGCGGCGGACGGGCGAGUAAUGCCUAGGAAUCUGCCUGGUAGUGGGGGAUAACGUCCGGACACGGGCGCUAAUACCGCAUACGUCCUGAGGGAGAAAGUGGGGGAUCUUCGGACCUCACGCUAUCAGAUGAGCCUAGGUCGGAUUAGCUAGUUGGCGGGGUAAAGGCCUACCAAGGCGACGAUCCGUAACUGGUCUGAGAGGAUGAUCAGUCACACUGGAACUGAGACACGGUCCAGACUCCUACGGGAGGCAGCAGUGGGGAAUAUUGGACAAUGGGCGAAAGCCUGAUCCAGCCAUGCCGCGUGUGUGAAGAAGGUCUUCGGAUUGUAAAGCACUUUAAGUUGGGAAGAAGAGCAGUAAGUUAAUACCUUGCUGUUUUGACGUUACCAACAGAAUAAGCACCGGCUAACUUCGUG
rnacentral:rRNA from 1 species